GAUACACCCCCCUGGCACAUAUAGACCACGCCCACUCCGCAAAUAAAGACAUGCGAACUCCCCGCGAGUCUCCAAUGUCAUCCAUAAGAAGGCUGCAAGCCCGCAGGAACCUUCUAGAAACCUUCCAUCUCCCGAGUGCCGCCACAGCGCCGGGUUUGGAGGAGGACGGAAUUGAGGAGUUCCUCUCCGGAAGAACUUCCUUCAGCUGAGCUCGUCCAGCCUCGAACUCCACACAGGUCCUUCUGUCGUCCCUCCCUCCUGGUCCGCAGACAUGAUCAUCAGGCUGGGCAGACUCACACCUGGAUACUUCCGCCUCCUCCAGAGGCAGGUGGCCGGCGAGGUGCAGACCCAGCCCCAGGACCGUGCCGUCAACCAGAUAGCCAUGAUGCUGGCCAUCAUGGGCCUCAGCCUGUCCUACUACAGCGCCAAGCAGAUGACUGAGAAGGUGCACGCCCACCCUGCGCCAUGAAACCCCCUUCCUCCCUCCCGUAGAACUAAUGAAGGCUCGGUCAGGACCAUUAGUCGUGGCCAAGGUGCAUGCUAGCCAGGUAACACAAUACUGUCAAUAAUGCAAAUACUUGAAGUAUGCCAAGGGGUGCUCAAAGCAAGACGGCAGCAAAACUAACAGUAAUGCCUUUUUAUUUUGAAAGGGUAGCUUAUCAGUGUUGGAGAUGCUCCUUUGAAACGAAGUGAUGGCCGUCCCACAGCCUUGUUGGUAAAGGGAUGCAAGUACAAAUCAACGUUUGUGUGUUUUGAGGACAAACAAUUGCUGUAUGUUGUGAAAAGUGGGGAGGGGGAGGGGUCGAAUAUUUGCACAAUCUGCAAAAAGUUGUUUUUGUAGAGUAAAAAAAACGUCAGUGCUCAAAGGGAUGUUGGAACAUGUCACUGGUAUUGAGUGUUCUUGAAAGACCUGACAAGGGAAGUGUUUUGCACGUUGGCGUGCGGACUUUUAAUCCAAAUUAAAGAAGUUAGUUUUUAUGACUGUACCAUCUUAUUUUGUAUGAUCGUGUGUGUAAUAAAGCUGUGAAUCUUU